CAGCAGCCGCGGGAAUACGUAGGGUCCGAGCGUUGUCCGGAAUUAUUGGGCGUAAAGGGCUCGUAGGCGGUUUGUCGCGUCGGGAGUGAAAUCCAGCAGCUUAACUGCUGGCCUGCUUUCGAUACGGGCAGACUUGAGGCAUUCAGGGGAGAACGGAAUUCCUGGUGUAGCGGUGAAAUGCGCAGAUAUCAGGAGGAACACCGGUGGCGAAGGCGGUUCUCUGGGAAUGUUCUGACGCUGAGGAGCGAAAGUGUGGGGAGCGAACAGGAUUAGAUACCCGUGUAGUCCCUGUCUCUUAUAC
rnacentral:rRNA from 1 species